AGGUUUGUUUGGAGGAAGACAAUCUAAUAUGCUGGUUUGAUAUAUAUCAGUUGGAAAGACUGUCAAAUGUACUUUAGAUGAUAUAAGUGUGCUGGUGACCGAUUGAACCAGGCUAAAGUACAUGUGUUGAUCAGGCUAAACUAUAAAGCAUCCAUUACAAACUACCGACAAAUAGGAAAUUGGAGGCCACUAUACAGCUACUUGAUUUUGUAUCAUACAGAAUCUAGAAGACCAAAAGAAAUGGAUGCUUGAUCUAAUCACACACACAC
rnacentral:lncRNA from 1 species